rnacentral:ncRNA from 1 species
CCCAGUGCCUCGGGGUGCUGAGAGACAACUCAGCUGAGAUUUGCGUACCCGCAUCAACCCGUUGAACCUGAACCGGUUAAAACCGGCGGAGGGAAGGUGCAGCGCCCCGUC